GACGAACGCUGGCGGCGUGCCUAAUACAUGCAAGUAGAACGCACAGUUUAUACCGUAGCUUGCUACACCAUAGACUGUGAGUUGCGAACGGGUGAGUAACGCGUAGGUAACCUGCCUGGUAGCGGGGGAUAACUAUUGGAAACGAUAGCUAAUACCGCAUAAUAUUAAUUAUUGCAUGAUAAUUAAUUGAAAGGUGCAAUUGCACCACUACCAGAUGGACCUGCGUUGUAUUAGCUAGUAGGUGAGGUAACGGCUCACCUAGGCGACGAUACAUAGCCGACCGGAGAGGGUGAGCGGCCAGACUGGGACUGAGACACGCCACAGACGCAUACGGGAGGCAGCAGUAGGGAAUCGGGGGGAAUGGGCGAGAGUCUGACCGAGCAACGCGGCGUCAGUGAGGAGGGUUUUCGGGUGGUGAAGCUCUGUUGUAAGAGAAGAACGGGUGUGAGAGUGGAAAGUACACUGUGUGACGGUAUCUUACGAGGAAGGGACGGCUAACUACGUG
rnacentral:rRNA from 1 species